CGAAGCUGUCUUGAAAAUCAAAUAAAACAGCACAAUGCUAAGCGUGCUACAAUGGCUAAGGAGGUCAAAUCUACCGAGGGUGAAGGCGACGACAAUUACUCGUAUGAAGUUUCUUUAGACGAGGACUUCUUGACUUCAUUGGAAUACGGAAUGCCACCGGCAUCAGGAAUGGGCCUCGGUAUCGACCGGUUAGUAAUGCUUUUGACGAACUCUUCUAGCAUAAGGGACGUUAUUGCCUUUCCUGUCUUGAAGAUUCAGCAAUAGAUCCCCUUCAUUCUGUGAAGAGACGUGGCUG